GAUUAGGAAACAUGACAGCCAAGGCUCUUUAAAAAUAAACUGUCUUUCUGAAAGCAGAGAGAUGUGCUAGCUAGGGUUUGACCACUAACCACAUUCAUACCAAAACAAGUGAGUCUUGUUGUCAUUUUCAAAAAAUAAGAUCUCUUGUGGGCACUUCACUUCUUGUAUUCCAGUGAGUACACACCAAGUAUGCUUACUGUUACUAUUCCUGACUCCAGAGACUUCAAAUGAGGAGGCAUAGCCUUCAACAAAAUGUUUCUUAGAAUUGAGAAACGAUCAGUGACCAACAUCAUUCCUGAUUUUGCUCUUUAAAGACGCGACUGAUGACACUGGGGCUAAGCCCAAACUGACAGAAUUACCAAGUCAUUCCAAGUUGUGCCUAAUACAAAGGCCAAUUCAUUAAUUACUAAUACAAGGGAAAUUAUUGUGAUGUAUGUGAUAAAGAAGGAUAACCUGGGUUGUGAAAAAAAAAAACUUGGUGACUCUCCUGCAUAGUACAGAGUAAUCGGCUGGCUCAAGUUUCUGCCAGCGGUCCGCAGAGGAAUUUAAUGACCGCCACCUGCAAGUUAUGUGUGUGUGUAAAAUGUCAAGCAGAAUAUUGAAGAUCAUCUGCUAGCCAAAGGCACUUUCAGAAAAUCACUGUCAAGAUACUGGAUGCGCAAAAGGAUGUUGUGUAUGUGCCCACCCAUCACAGCUCUCUGAUUUGGCCGAUCUACCUAUUCCACUUCUCCGUGGGGGCACUGUUUACUGGACAUGCCUGGUAGUAAAAUGACCUUAGAUACCUUCUGUUUGGUACACAGGCACAUACCGAUGCACAAAUGCACAGCUAAUAAGUAAUAAUCCUU